rnacentral:rRNA from 1 species
GAGUUUGAUCCUGGCUCAGAGCGAACGCUGGCGGCAGGCCUAACACAUGCAAGUCGAGCGGAUGUAGCAAUACAUCAGCGGCAGACGGGAGAGUAACACGUGGGAACGUGCCCUUUGGUUCGGAAUAACUCGGCGAAAGCCGUGCUAAUACCGGAUAAGCCCUUACGGGGAAAGAUUUAUCGCCAUUGGAGCGGCCCGCGUCUGAUUAGCUAGUUGGUGAGGUAACGGCUCACCAAGGCGACGAUCAGUAGCUGGUCUGAGAGGAUGAUCAGCCUCACUGGGACUGAGACACGGCCCAGACUCCUACGGGAGGCAGCAGUGGGGAGUAUUGGACAAUGGGCGCAAGCCUGAUCCAGCCAUGCCGCGUGGAUGAUGAAGGCCUUAGGGUUGUAAAGUCCUUUUAACGGGGAAGAUAAUGACGGUACCCGUAGAAUAAGCCCCGGCUAACUUCGUGCCAGCAGCCGCCGUAAC